CCUCACCUCUUAUGGGAGGCAGACAUUGUAUUUGACAAUGACAGGCUUCCCCUUGUCCCACGAGAAGGAAAAACUCAGCCCCAUGGAAGACCGCCCAUGCGCUCAACUGCUUCUCUGACUUGAGCUGAGGUCUAUGGCAGAAUGGGAGGGGGUUCAGUGAUGUUCAGAGGCUUGAAGGGCCAGAGGCUGGCACUAGAGCUGGGGAUUGGGACUGCAGUGGCAGCUUAUAUAGGAAGAAGUCAAAGCAGCCUCCCUAUCCCGGCAGCCCCCUGGGGGGAGUGCAGAAGAGGAACUCAAGAGAUCUCUGGUGCAUGCUAAAUUUCAAGGGAAGCCAGAAGGGUAAACAUGUUGCCAUGGAGUUCUGUUUAAAAUAAAAUACAAUGGAAAGAAAAGCAGCAUGAUGAAGUAACCACAUGGACUGCAGGAUACACCUGAUACUAAUUACUGUCAUGCAGAAUGUUCUGGAAGACAUUUGACUCGCCUGAUGUAUACAUUCAAAUCAAGCAAAGUAGGACUGGAAGGCUCCUUAGGGACCAUCUUGUCCAAGUCUUUCCUUUUUCCAGAUGAGGAAGUAGGGGCCCACAGAGAGGGAGGGCCUGGACCUCAGCCUCCCAGCGCGGAGGGAGCAGAGCCGGGAUUCAAACCCGUGGUGCUUUGUAGGAAACCCGUAAUUUCCACGGUCUUUUUCCUUGGGCUGUCAGUAAGGCCCUGAAAUAGGAGAGUGGGGUUUACUGUGAACCUCGAAGGAGCAGGCUCAAGAGCCAGGGGGCCCAGAAUAGGGCAGAGGCUGGCUUCUCACUGGGAGGCUCAACUUCCCGCAGGGGCGCCAGGCCCUGACAGGAGAGACUGGACAUUAGGUGUCUGGAAGUUUCUCCUUCUAGGGGCUCCAGGAGCAUCCCACCUGAGGCCUGGGGCUCCCACCGGAACGUCAACUCAUGCCCUUGUGGGGCUGCAGGGCUGACGCGGGCUGGCACUGUGUCUACGACAGCCUCCCGGGCCCCCGGGUGCGUGGCUGCGGAUGCUCUCUGGCGGCCACCACAGUUCCCACGCGCGGCGGGUGAAUGCGAGCCCCUUGUCAAUGCGUGCCCCUCGCCUCUGCCCCCGAGAGGCUAGCAACCGGGCCUGCCGGCGUCUGAUUGGCCGUGGGGGCCUGACGACAGGGGCUCCUGGUUGCUGAUUGGCCCCGGCCAGCUCUGGCUGUUUCCUAGCUAUUAAUACUGUGGCUAAUAAACGUUCUCCU
rnacentral:lncRNA from 10 species